CACGACUAAAUAAAAAUAGUGCGAUUAAUGUUGAUAUGUUAGGAUAUAACUUUUUCCAUGUUGAUUCAUUAACCAGUGCAGGUGGUGCCGCUCUAUAUGUUUCAGAAGAAUUAAAAUGUCUAAGUAGGCCAGAUUUACAAAUUGAUAUUGACCAGGUUGAAUCCUGCUGGGUUGAAAUUGAAACUGAAAAAGGUAAAAAUAUAAUAAUGGUGGGAAAUUUGUCUGAGCAUGCGCGAGUAAAAUGAGCCACGCAGUUGCGUGGAAUACGCAACGCGUGUUUACAAAAAGGCACAAUCGUGUAAAUAUUGCCAAAUGUUUGUACAAAAUAAAUUACUGUUUUAUGUUGAAAGAGUAGACAUGAUCUAAAUUAAUCAUACAGAAUUUUUUAGUGACGUUCUAUUUCAGUACCCUGCCAUUGUCUCUGGUGGGCUGUCCGUGUGCAUUCGAUCUGAAACAGUUGCUACUUUGCUGUCGAAGAAUUUCGAAUGUUUACAUGAAUAUAGAGGCAAGUCAUGCAUUUUACAACCUCUUAAACUGUAUGAGCCCCUAUUUUUACGCUUAUACCUAAGAUAUCAAAUAAAAGUACAUGAAACAGAGAACAUUUGUAGAAAGUUUUAUCGUGAGGCCACGGCCAGUUUUUAAAAUAUCUUUAUUUCUGUUCCGGUCAUCACCAAAAUUACACAAAAGCCGGGCUUGAAUAUACAACAAAUUUUGAAUCUCAUCAAGCACAAAAAUACUUAACGUGUAACCAAAAUAUGCUCAUGAAAUGGAAAUUAAUAGCUAAAUUUUCAAACUAGACCCUUCUCGAAGCGGUUUUCAUGAACGAAGUUCACAUUUCGGCCUUUGAUUCUUGGCAAAAAUUUGACCACAACACGUGCGAAGCAACUGGGUCUCAAAGACUGAACUAAAACAUUGUGAGCCCCUAUUUUCCUGACGAUAUGUUUGAUACCUACAAACGCCGAAAAGUUUUUUCUUUUCAUUUAGCAAUAUUUGAAAUUGAGGCCACGCGCUAUUUUUGAGAAAAUGCAGUUCAAAGUCAAGCUAUUUUUACAUAUUUUCAAAAUUUGUCAAAUUUCGCGAGCUUGUAUUUUAAACUUAGACAGCUGAAGUUACAUUAUGAAACAUAGGAUGGAAAAUUUGAGGCAUAUAAAGUUAAUUUCAACUUACAUUUCAUUCCCAAAUCACGUCUUUCUUCGUUUAUUACGGUUUUAAACAAGCCAUAGAUCGACGUAUACGGUAUUUACUCCCAUGUUCACGUCGCCAUAUUAACUUCUUCCAAUCACUCGAUUACAAAACAAUCAUCCGAAAACAAAGAAUUCAUGAUCGACUUUUAAAAGAAUAACCAAUAAUUUGCAAAUCGUUGAAUGGAAAGCAAAAAAUCGUCAGCUAAAACAGCUUCUUGC